GGGAAUGCCCGUAGCUCAGUGGCAGAGCAUCUGUUUUGCAUGCAGAAGGUCCCAGUCUCAGUCCCUGGCAUCUUCA